UACGGGGGGAGCAAGCGUUGUUCGGAUUUACUGGGCGUAAAGGGCGCGUAGGCGGCCAGCACAAGUCAGUUGUGAAAUCUCCGAGCUUAACUCGGAAAGGUCAACUGAUACUGUGCGGCUAGAGUGCGGAAGGGGCAACUGGAAUUCUUGGUGUAGCGGUGAAAUGCGUAGAUAUCAAGAGGAACACCUGCGGCGAAGGCGGGUUGCUGGGCCGACACUGACGCUGAGGCGCGAAAGCAUGGGGAGCAAACAGG
rnacentral:rRNA from 1 species